rnacentral:rRNA from 1 species
UACGUAGGGUGCGAGCGUUGUCCGGAAUUAUUGGGCGUAAAGGGCUCGUAGGCGGUUUGUCGCGUCGGGAGUGAAAUCCACUGGCUUAACUGGUGGCUUGCCUUCGAUACGGGCAGACUGGAGGUAUGCAGGGGAGAACGGAAUUCCUGGUGUAGCGGUGAAAUGCGCAGAUAUCAGGAGGAACACCGGUGGCGAAGGCGGUUCUCUGGGCAUUACCUGACGCUGAGGAGCGAAAGUGUGGGGAGCGAACAGG